rnacentral:rRNA from 1 species
GGCCCGGUUAUCGGAAUGAGAACACUUUAAAUCCUUUAACUAGGAACAAUUGGAGGGCAAGUCUGGUGCCAGCAGCCGCGGUAAUUCCAGCUCCAAUAGCGUAUAUUAAAGUUGUUGCGGUUAAAAAGCUCGUAGUUGGAUUUCGCCGGGUUGAGGGACGUUCGUUUUUUGACGCAACUACCUCGUAUGCUCGUGAUUUUUGACUGAGGUGUUAGGGUGCCCUUCAUUGGAUGUCUUAAUGGCUCGUCAGGUUUACUUUGAAAAAAUUAGAGUGCUCAAAGCAGGCUUUUACAGCUUGAAUAUUCGUGCAUGGAAUAAUAGAAUAGGAUGUCGUUUCUAUUUUGUUGGUUUAUCGGAAAUCGACAUAAUGAUUAAUAGGGACAGUCGGGGGCAUUAGUAUUCAGGCGACAGAGGUGAAAUUCUUGGACCGUCUGAAGACUAACUACUGCGAAAGCAUUUGCCAAGAAUGUUUUCAUUAAUCAAGAACGAAAGUUAGAGGUUCGAAGGCGAUCAGAUACCGCCCUAGUUCUAACCAUAAACAAUGCCAACUAGCGAUCCGCUGUUGUUAUUUAUAACGGCACAGCGGGAAGCUUCCGGGAAACCAAAGUCUUUGGGUUCCGGGGGAAGUAUGGUUGCAAAGCUGAAACUUAAAGUAAUUGACGGAAGGGCACCACCAGGAGUGGAGCCUGCGGCUUAAUUUGACUCAACACGGGAAAUCUCACCAGGCCCGGACACUGGAAGGAUUGACAGAUUGAGAGCUCUUUCUCGAUUCGGUGGGUGGUGGUGCAUGGCCGUUCUUAGUUGGUGGAGUGAUUUGUCUGGUUAAUUCCGAUAACGAA